CAAUAGCGUAUAUUUAAGUUGUUGCAGUUAAAAAGCUCGUAGUUGGAUUUCGGAUGGGACUUGCCGGUCCGUCGUUUCGAUGUGCACUGGCCAGUCCUAUCUUGUUGUCGGGGACUAGCUCCUGGGCUUCACUGUCCGGGACUAGGAGCUGACGAGGUUACUUUGAGUAAAUUAGAGUGUUCAAAGCAAGCCUACGCUCUGAAUACAUUAGCAUGGAAUAACACGAUAGGACUCUGGCUUAUCUUGUUGGUCUGUGGGACCAGAGUAAUGAUUAAGAGGGACAGUCGGGGGCAUUCGUAUUUCAUUGUCAGAGGUGAAAUUCUUGGAUUUAUGAAAGACGAACUUCUGCGAAAGCAUUUGUCAAGGAUGUUUUCAUUA
rnacentral:rRNA from 1 species